AGUGGCAGACGGGUGAGUAAUGUAUAGGAAUCUACCUAGUAGUACGGAAUAAUUGUUGGAAACGGCAACUAAUACCGUAUACGCCCUACGGGGGAAAGAUUUAUCGCUAUUAGAUGAGCCUAUAUUAGAUUAGCUAGUUGGUAAGGUAAUGGCUUACCAAGGCAAUGAUCUAUAGCUGAUCUGAGAGGAUGAUCAGCCACACUGGAACUGAGAUACGGUCCAGACUCCUACGGGAGGCAGCAGUGGGGAAUAUUGGACAAUGGGCGAAAGCCUGAUCCAGCCAUGCCGCAUGAGUGAAGAAGGCCUUUGGGUUGUAAAGCUCUUUCGGUGAGGAAGAUAAUGACGGUACUCACAGAAGAAGUCCUGGCUAACUCCGUGCCAGCAGCCGCGGUAAUACGGAGAGGGCUAGCGUUAUUCGGAAUUAUUGGGCGUAAAGAGCGCGUAGGCUGGUUAGUAAGUUAAAAGUGAAAUCCCAAAGCUCAACUUUGGAAUUGCUUUUAAAACUGCUAACCUAGAGAUUGAAAGAGGAUAGAGGAAUUCCUAGUGUAGAGGUGAAAUUCGUAAAUAUUANGAGGAACACCAGUGGC
rnacentral:rRNA from 1 species